rnacentral:rRNA from 1 species
GUCCACGCCCUAAACGAUGUCUACUAGUUGUCGGGUUUAAUUAACUUGGUAACGCAGCUAACGCGUGAAGUAGACCGCCUGGGGAGUACGGUCGCAAGAUUAAAACUCAAAGGAAUUGACGGGGACCCGCACAAGCGGUGGAUGAUGUGGAUUAAUUCGAUGCAACGCGAAAACCUUACCUACCCUUGACAUGUACGGAAGCCACGAGAGAUCGAGGUGUGCUCGAAAGAGAACCGUAACACAGGUGCUGCAUGGCUGUCGU